rnacentral:rRNA from 1 species
GACGUAGGGCGCGAGCGUUGUCCGGAUUUAUUGGGCGUAAAGAGCUCGUAGGCGGCUUGUCGCGUCGUCUGUGAAAACCCGCGGCUCAACGGCGGGCUUGCAGUCGAUACGGGCAGGCUGGAGUUCGGUAGGGGAGACUGGAAUUCCUGGUGUAGCGGUGAAAUGCGCAGAUAUCAGGAGGAACACCGGUGGCGAAGGCGGAUCUCUGGGCCUUACCUGACGCUCAGGCGCGAAAGCUAGGGGAGCGAACAGG